GGAUGGCGUUCUUUUCCAGGUGCAGCAGAACCAGGCUGCGUGGCAGCCCUGCUGGGACCCGAGACAAGUUGUUGCUGGACAGAUCCAGUGCCCUCUGCCUUGGGACUCCUGCCUGAAUUCCUGUUACCCUUCAAGAUCCUGCAAAUGCCAUUUCCUCCAGGAAGCCCUGAAAGUGACUCCGGAGUUUCCCUACACUCCUGUCUCUGCCUCCCUCACAGACUGUGAGCACCUCAAGGGGAGGGCAAGUCCAAAUCCUCCCUACAUGCCCAGCACUGUACACAGGACCAAAGGCAGAGAGUAAGUACUCAGGAGAUAUUUUAUGAAUGGAUG